GAAGUUGCCGCUUGGGAUGCCCUCCUCCAGGACAUCGCCCUCCUCCCCAUUGACGUCGCUGACACCCCGGACGCCAUUUCUUGGCGUCUAGAACCCUCGGGCUGCUUCUCCACCAAAUCCCUCUACGCGGCCAUCGCCCCCUCGAUGGCCCCCGAGCCCUUUAGCUUGAUUUGGGAUAUCCGACCGCCCCUGAAGAUCAGGAUCUUCCUGUGGCAAUGGAUCCGCUGCCGUCUCCCGUCCGGCGUCGAGGUCCUUAAGCGUAAUGGACCUGGCGAUGGGAUGUGCCCC
rnacentral:rRNA from 1 species